rnacentral:rRNA from 1 species
AGGAUGAACGCUGGCGGCGUGCUUAACACAUGCAAGUCGAACGAUGAAGGCUGGAGCUUGCUCUGGCUGGAUUAGUGGCGAACGGGUGAGUAACACGUGAGUAACCUGCCCCAGACUCUGGGAUAAGCGCUGGAAACGGCGUCUAAUACCGGAUACGAGCUUCCACCGCAUGGUGAGGAGCUAGGAAAGAUUUCGGCUGGGAUGGACUCGCGGCCUAUCAGCUUGUUGGUGAGGUAUGGCUCACCAAGGCGACGACGGGUAGCCCGGCCUGGAGCGGGUCACCGGGCCAAGCGUGGACUGGAGACGACGGCCAGGACCUCCGUAGGGAGCAGCAGGUGGGAAUGUUG